rnacentral:rRNA from 1 species
GAUGAACGCUGGCGGCGUGCCUAAUACAUGCAAGUCGAGCGAACAGACGAGGAGCUUGCUCCUCUGACGUUAGCGGCGGACGGGUGAGUAACACGUGGAUAACCUACCUAUAAGACUGGGAUAACUUCGGGAAACCGGAGCUAAUACCGGAUAAUAUAUUGAACCGCAUGGUUCAAUAGUGAAAGACGGUUUUGCUGUCACUUAUAGAUGGAUCCGCGCCGCAUUAGCUAGUUGGUAAGGUACAGCUUACCAAGGCAACGAUGCGUAGCCGACCUGAGAGGGUGAUCGGCCACACUGGAACUGAGACACGGUCCAGACUCCUACGGGAGGCAGCAGUAGGGAAUCUUCCGCAAUGGGCGAAAGCCUGACGGAGCAACGCCGCGUGAGUGAUGAAGGUCUUCGGAUCGUAAAACUCUGUUAUUAGGGAAGAACAAAUGUGUAAGUAACUAUGCACGUCUUGACGGUACCUAAUCAGAAAGCCACGGCUAACUACGUG